UACGUAGGGAGCAAGCGUUGUUCGGAUUUACUGGGCGUAAAGGGCGCGUAGGCGGCUUUAUAAGUCAGGGGUGAAAUCCCGGGGCUCAACCCCGGAACUGCCCUUGAAACUGCUAAGCUAGAAUCUUGGAGAGGCGAGUGGAAUUCCGAGUGUAGAGGUGAAAUUCGUAGAUAUUCGGAAGAACACCAGUGGCGAAGGCGACUCGCUGGACAAGUAUUGACGCUGAGGUGCGAAAGCGUGGGGAGCAAACAGG
rnacentral:rRNA from 1 species